UACGUAGGGUGCGAGCGUUAAUCGGAAUUACUGGGCGUAAAGCGUGCGCAGGCGGUCUGUUAAGACCGAUGUGAAAUCCCCGGGCUUAACCUGGGAACUGCAUUGGUGACUGGCAGGCUUUGAGUGUGGCAGAGGGAGGUAGAAUUCCACGUGUAGCAGUGAAAUGCGUAGAGAGUGUGGAGGAAUACCGAUGGCGAAGGCAGCCUCCUGGGCCAACACUGACGCUCAUGCACGAAAGCGUGGGGAGCAAACAGG
rnacentral:rRNA from 1 species